rnacentral:tmRNA from 1 species
GGGCCCGUAAAGGUUUCGACGGGGAUUUUGAGGUAUGAUAAGCGAGUAGAGCCGGGCAAUCUCUAUAAAGGCCUAAAUUAAAAUUAAACGCUAACAAUAAAGUAGCAAUGGCUGCCUAAGGGCAGUGCCGCGGCUUAUUAGCCGCCCGUUCCCCCAAGGAGUAUCGCGGCCCUGGGCUGAGCGUCAAGUAAGCGGUGAACGUGCGUCUCCCUUUCGCCAUUGAGGAGUCCACGCAUAAAAUGGCUACCCAAGGAAGAAGCCUGUCUGUCGGCGUUUUUUGCGGGGAAAUCUAAACGAUAGACUGCACUCGGAGAAGGUCAUAUCAAGGGGUUUUCGGACACGGGUUCGACUCCCGUCGGGUCCACCA